CUUGCUGAACUUCCAGAUGUUUUUUGAUUUGGCUGCUUGUUUCCUUUCCUCCAGUGGGUGACUUUCAUACAAACUAUGCAUGUAUCCAUAUGGAAUGCUGGCUCUCCGUCAACUAUUAAAGAAUGCAACAUCUGCUGCAGACACUUAUUCCACUGCCUGUUAUGCCCAACCUUCAAACCAACAAAGAAGGCAAACAUUCAGAGUUUGCUUCUACCUGACUGCUUCCUGCAUAGCUGAGACAAUCCUCUUGUCAGAGCAGAUACCUACCUCCCCCACUGUUAGAGCAAAUCACCAAAAACUCUGUGUAGAGUCAGGUAAAUUAAUCAGACUGUCAAGCUCAUGAAGCUGAUAGCAUCUGCUACCAGUGUGCAAGAAAAAAUUGACGGAGGUGAAAUCAACAUGAUGGGCUACCUCUUUGAUGUCAUACUUCAAGAGGUAAGAUGUGAAUGCUGAGUUAUUGCUGACUGAUAUUGGUUACAUGAUAAACAAUAAGAGUGAUGUGUAAAGGGGACUAGUGACUUGUGUUUUCUGUUUUAAAGGUCAUCACCAGGAUCUUGGAAAAGAAUGAGGGCUUCAGCUGCUAUCCGGCAG